rnacentral:lncRNA from 1 species
UACAGACUAACGUACAGGCUAACUAAGUACAUAAGAUAAAAACUAAACUAAAGCACAGGCUAACGAAGGGCUAAAAUAAACUAAAGUGCAAACUAAACUAAUAUUAGAAAAUAUAAACUAAUAGAAUAUUACUGAGAGGACAUAAGUUAAUAACUAAAUAUAAACUAGAAAACAUAAGCUACUAAGAGAUUAGUGAGAACACAA